rnacentral:misc_RNA from 1 species
GUAAAAAUAGCCUAAAGGGCAACUAUUUGAUCAUUGAAUUAUUUUAUAUUUUGGAAUUGUUGUACAAAAUUUUUUUCCUGGUUAUUGACAUUGUAAUAUAAAGUCAAGAAGAAACCCAUCUGCUUUCAAAUGAAUAAAGAACCAGCACAUAAGAUUUCAUUAAUAUGCACAUCUCAAGCAUUGAAGAGUUUUCUAAAAGGUCCAUCCUUCCUGUCCUUAGCAGCUUCUGUUAGAGCAAGGAACCUCUUGAAGCCAGUCGUUGCAGCACCUCGUCCAAGUGCAGCUGCUCUGGUAAGCACAUCUUCUCGGGAAGCAAUAAAUCCAACUGUCUGAUUUGUAAUUGCAGGAGCUGGAGCAGCAGGUACAACUGAUGGUGCAAUCGAAGGCUGUGUAAUUGCUGGCCCAUGUUUGUUGAAGUCAUCCAGUAUACUCUGCUGAUCUGCCUUUUUAAGACCCUUAAGCUCCAGAAUACGCUGAAACUCCAUUGGUGUUCCCUCUGGUAGCAAUGCCCUAUAUGUAUCUGCCACAGAAUCUAUGGGGGAGAGUAUAACCUUCAAAAGUGCUUCAGCUUUACUCAUUUCCCGGCUUACAAACUUUGAAUAGCUAGCAGCACCUGAUGUCUGCCGACCGAGGGAAGGAAUCUCUAGAAGAAUCGUCUUUACAGCUUGAGUAUCUAAAAGCAUUUGUUGGGCUCCAGUUUCUGAUAUGUGCUUGCAUUUGAAAAUGUUGGCAUAAAAUCGUGGACCAAGAGAGGAUGCCAGCUUGUCCAAAAAGUACUGGAAAUGAACUGGAGAUAAAAGACUUCCGAGUACAGGAAUGCUGCUUGUAAGUAUCAUAUUUAUGCCGUUAACAUACUCUGAUUGGUCACCAACACUUUCAAGUGUACCCCAUGGAACACGUGUCAUCGUUACCAUUUCAGAAUCAAAUUUAGUUUCCAGGCCAUGCACUAGGGUCAUUAAUGCUUCUGUAAUAAGGCCUGAAAACUCCUCCUCAACAGCUGACAUAUCCACCCCUGCUGCUAAUUGAGGAUCAAUUAUUUUGGAUACACUUUCUGCCAGUUCACCUGACGUUUUUCGGCAGUAUUCAGCUGAAUUGAUAAUAUAGCAAAUCACCCUUUCAUCUCUGUCAGACAUCUUUAUUUGUCCAUCCAUGCCUGUAGCAGCAGCAACAAUACCCACACCACCCUUUGGUAGUCUUGCUUUAAGCUUCGCAACAUAUGCUUUGAGAAUUCUUUCAAAUACCUUAAACAAAUUAAAUAACGUCUGGUUCUUUGUCAGGGCACUGCACCUCUUUAAGCUCCGCUUGAUUAUAAGAAACAACUGCAUGCUACUGGAUAAAACAUUAUUCUGACUGCCCUCCUCAAUAUCCCAUGUUUCCUCCUGAACAAGUUUGUCGAGAUUCUCCAUCAGAGUUUUCUGUUCCAACUCAACAUAAAUUGUCAAGUGAGGCUCAAAGCAAGAUGAAAUAAUUCCGCGGAAGUUGAACCCAGCUCCUGGUACUGAUAAAUCUUUAUUUUCAUCCUUCUCUUCAGGCUCUCCUUGAUUAGCAGCAAGCUUUCUUUCAUACUUUUUUCGAAUAUCUGAUACACUUUGACUAUUACUGUCCUUGCCAAUUUCUUCUAUCUCAUUCCCAAUCUCUCUACUACUAGAGCCGCCUCCAAAUUUUUCAGCUAAUUCAUCCUCAAAUUCUAAAGUUCGUUGUAGUGCCAACAACAAAGUUCCAACGUCCGGCUUCUCUUUGACAUUAUCAAGUAUUCCCUCUAGUUGUUUCCUUGUCUUCUUACAGAACUGAAUACAAAGCCGAUAAGGAACGUGCCACAAGGAAGGAAAAAUCCUCCAUAUCUCCUCAUUUGUUCUUAUUCGACGCUUGAUCCAUGCAUAUCUUCGUUCAGUUUUGUCAAGCUUAGCUAGCUCAGCUCCUUCAAAGAUUUGUUCAUAUGAAGUAAGCUCCCUGCUGCAAAAAUUAUUUACCAACUCUUCCCUCACAGAUGGCUCCAAAGCAUCAACAACCAAGCAUGCCUCAGAUAAGUGCUGCAGUAAAUUAGUUUCUUCUGUCUCUUUCCCAGUACCUAAGCUUGAGAAAUCUGAAAACACAUGUGACUUGAGUAUUUGUUUGAUAUUUUUAAACUUCUCUCUGAGUUCUGUAAUUUUUGGUAUAUCCCUAUAGGCCUCAAAAUGACUACAUAAUUGGUUCACUGCCUCUAGCUGAGCAGCUGCCUCUUUAUACUGUCGUUUAGAAGCCAUUAUCUGAAGUUGCUCAACAGCAG